UGUCUUUUCCUUUUUUAUUAUACACUAGGUUCUGGUCCGCGCUACGCGCGGAUAAUGUUUCAAUAUUUUUUUUGGAAAUAUUGAUUAUAUUUUAAAAUUUUGGUGUUUCAAUUGAUUAGAGGUAGAAACUAUUAUAAUUUAAUAUUAAAAUUAUUUUUAAGUUGAUAAAUAAUAAUAAAAAGUUACGUAAGAGUGAUGUUUUAAUUAAGAAUUUUUUUAGUUUUCUACUUUUCUUUGUUAUUAGUUUCUAUUUACAACAAUCUUUAAAAAUUGUGACAUUGUUUUCAUAUAUUAUGUUUUCUAAAAACAUCACAUUAGUAAUAGUAUAUUUUAAAAGUGUAACAGAUGUACUGUUCCAUUAUUUAAUUCAAAGUUGUUCAUUUAUAUAUAUUGAAAUAAUAUAAAGUUUAAGUGUAUAUUUGUAUGUCAUAUUUGUCAUUUAGUGUAGCCAUAGUGAUUUUUAUCGUUUUAUUGUUUUGGCUUAUUUUUAUUAUGCACUUUAACUUUUCUUAAAAUAUUAAUAUUUUCUAAUUGAGAGUUGUUAAUGAUAGACCAUAUUGAUUUGAAAUAUUUCUAUAAAAACUGUUUAUAUAUAAUGUUUAAUAUUUUAGUAAUGUGUAGAUAAAAGAAGUUAUCAUAUGAAUUUUAACUAACUUAAUUUUUUGAACAGAAUGAUUAGUACUCUUAACUAUUAUAUUUCUUUCGGUAGCAUAUUUGUAGUUUCUAUUAGUGAUUUUUUUUAAUUGGUUUCCAUAACAUGUAAUCUUUGGUAGAAUUCAUUGAGUUAGUAGAACUUAGUUUUUUGGUUGGUAUUUGUAGAUUUUUAUGAAAUUAAUCAGUGCUCUUACUGUUUUUUUCGUUUAAUAGUUUUUAGUUGUAUACUCCAGUAUAUUUUUAUAUGUAGAAACUAUUUUUAAAAUAAUGAGGAUACAUAACAAUUAAAAGGUUAUAUCAGCUAUCACAUAUUCAAAAGAAUGAUUAAAAGUUAAAAAACUUGACAUAGCUUUACAAAGGUAAUGGAUAUAUGUGUUUCUGAUUUGUUUCUAUAAUAGUUGUUUUUACUUGGUUGAUGUUAACUUUCUAAUGAGUUAGUAUUGAUAUCGAUUUAAUUUUAACAAAGCUUAUUUUGAACUAAAAUAUGUAGCUAUAUUUUCUUAUUCGGUGUAUUAGAAGCGUAUGAUUUUAUAAAUAAAAAUGAGUAUGCUUAAUAUAAUGAUUACUCGAAUCAUUUACAAUGUACAUUUUAAAUUUUAGUUUUAAAAUUACCCUUUUGCUUUAAAAUUAACAUAUAAUAUAAAUUUAGAACAUAUGAAUUUUCUUUUAAGAUACAAAAAAUUGUAAAAUGAAUUAUUUCAUUUUAUUAAAUUAAAAGGUAAUUUGAUCUUCUGUGUAUUAUUCUUAUUUGCCUAUUUAAAAAACUAUUAUAAUUUGAUGGAAAACAAUACAAUUUAGAAAUACAUAAAUCGUUAUAUAAACAGAUUAUAGAUACAAAUAUAAGAGAAUUAUAGAUAUUAACUUUAUUUAUUUGAGAAGUUAACAACUGAAACAUUAGAUAUUUUUUUUUUUGCAUAUUUUUUAAAGUAUAUCUCAUAUAUUUACCACAUUCAGAGUGUUGCAAAUAAAAGAUUUUGUCAACCUUCCUAGGAAUGAAGUAAUUCUAUGGGUGCCACAUGAGACAAAAUAUUAUCAAAUCUUUAUUAUUUAAAAUCAUUAAUUAUCAUAUAUAUUAUAAUUCCGUAUGUUCUAUUCAAGGAAAUAAUGAAUACUAUUUUUAUAUUAAUAAUUAAUUAUAUGAUUAGGGUUAAUGAACAGUAUAAAUAUGUUUAGAUGAACCAACUUAUUUUUCUAAGCUUGAUUUUCGUGAUGACAUGUGUCAUGGUUCAAAAGUUGUAAUGUUUCUCUUUUAAUAUGUAGGGAAUAUCUACGGAAAAAAAUGAUGUUCCCAAAAAUGUAAAAUAACGCAUUUCAAAUUUUCUGUUCAUUGAUAAUUAUAUCAUCUCAUUUAAGAUGUGUUUAGCACAAAAGGAAGGGUUUCAAUAUAUUUUACUUGAUAUAAAAUAAUAUACUCAAUAAUAUUUUAUCAGUUAUUCAAAAAAAAUCUAUGCAAUUUCUAUUGAAUAAUUUCUUCUCAUUUUACUUUCUAUUAACCGUCAAAACACAACACAAGUUCAUCUUUCAAGCAGUUAUCUAUUUCGUAUAGAAAGAGCGUAAUGGACGUCUUCAUUCAAAUGGACAUAAGCAACCUAUUUUGGUGAUUAGGGGGAGGCUGAGUGUUCUCUAGAUAUUUAGAUAAUUGGAAACUUUUUUUUAAAUUUAGAGUUGGACCGUCCGUGGUAUUUUAGUUUUUAGAAAUAUUCUCCACAUGUAUAAGGUUGGGCCGGAAUGGGGCAAGGUUGGGCCGGAACUUCAAAUUGGUUUGAGACUCAGCCUGUAGUGACAUGGCAUAUUGAUUGGUGGGAAAUAUUUCUGUCUAUGUGGCACCCCUUAGAAGCUCCUAAAAUAGUACCUUUUAUAUAGUAGGAUAUGUGUGUUUGAAAAUAAUUAAUUUCAUAUAUACAUUUCGUAAUUACAUACAUUAUACGGUAAUUAUUUUACUAAUUCCACAUAUACAUAAUAAAUAGUAUACAACAAUUUUAUUAUAUAUAGUCAUAAAAUUGUGAUCCACAAAAACAGUUUAUACAACAAUUUUAUUAUAUAUAAUCAUAAAAUUUUGAUCCAUAAAAAAUAAAAAUACAUUUGUGUGACUUUACACGUCAUAUUCUAAAUAAAUAGAUGAUAUAAUUUAGGAUUUACAUGAUAAAAUAAAACUACUCAAUACAAACUAUAAAACUAUUGUGUUUAGAAAUGUCAUAUUAAAAAAAAAAUUAAACGGGUAAAUUUUAAAAUAUAUAUUAUCACUUAUACAAAUAAAUAUUCAUUUAUAAAAAACUAACACCCGCGCGGGUGCGCGGAUCAAGCUCUAGUUUAUUUUAAAAUACAACACAUGGUUUUUUUUUUGAAGAGUCGAUUGGCUAAUAAUACAAAAAGAACUUGUAUAUUAACAAUCUGCUUCGACAGUAAAAUUUUGGUCCAAACAGUAUUGGAAAAGAGGUUAACUUGACCAUUUUAUCGCCAAGAGCUAUACUGUUUAGAAUAUUGAUUUUCUGAUAGGUAUUAUAUAAUGUCAGUAGAAAAUAUUGUAUAGAUUUUGUUUAGAUAUUAUUAGAUAUGUUAGAUUUUAAAAUUAAACAAAAUUUUCAUUUCUCUUCCUUUGUUGUCGUCGUCUUCUUUAUCCAUCUUUUUUCUCCUAUUUUUUUUCCUAUGAAUCUAAACAAAAUCAUACAAAAUCUAGUCCACCAGCUUGAUUUUGAACCAACAUACUUCAACAAGAUGAUUCAGAGUUCUCUCCUGAGUUCGGAGUUUACUCUGGUCAUUCUUUUGAUCCAACGAUGAAGACAAUAUGUUUAGAGAAAGUGGUGAAAGAAAUAUUUGGGGAACAAGACAUCCUAGUGCUCCACCUUGUUGUGCUUGAGAUGGGAUUUGCAGACAUAGAACUACAUCCUCCGGCAGGCAGUGGUGGUGUGCCGGGUAUUGAGAUAAUACAACUUUAUAAGGACAAUGAGAUGAUGGAAGUUGGCAUAGAGAGAGCACAAAAUGGUUCAACGUCGGAAGCAAUUAACGGUUAGUAGAAAAGUUAGCCAUAAAUAAACCACUUUAUUUUUUUUUUUUUCCUAAACCUGAUAUCCGGCUAAGUAUUAGUUUAUUGGAAUGAAAAUAAAUUGCUUAGACAUGAUAUAAACUGUGAUCAAAUUCAUAGUGUGUAUGCUUCCAACCGUUAUGUGAAGGUUAUUGUCGAAUGAGAAUACAUCCGUGUUUUAUGGUUAGGUGCAUGUGUCUAGCAAUCAAGACCAUGGCCUUCCUCUGGAUGUGAUCGCUUCAGGUGACGCACCAUGCUUAAAACGUGCAGGUCUGCCUUGUGGUGGUGGUCCAACCAUGGAGAACAUAAACUUCGGGUAGAUGUAGACAACUGGUCCAUCGUCGUUGAAGCUAACUUUGGCAUGCAGAGAAGUGGAAAAAACGUAGUGAAGUCAAAGGUUGGGGAAAUAUCAUCGGAAGGCAGCAACACCCAGGGGCGGGUGUUGAUUGGAGUCACCAUUAGUGCUUGGGAUUUAUUUUCUAAAUGUCUACGAGUUGUUGUAAAACGGUUAACAUAAAAUUUAGCCAGGGGUUACUAAGUUUUUAGAUCGUUAAACUUCUUAUAACCGUUUGUAGAAAAUAUUAGCGGUAUGUAAGUAAGUUAACAUGUUUUAAUGAUAUGGAUAUAUCUAAUGCAAAGAAUUCAAAGUUUAGCCAUGGAUAAACUUUUAUGUAACCAUUUGUAGAAACGAUUAGCGGUAUGUAAGUAAGUUAGCUCGAUUUUGUUAAGUUAAAUGUCUGGUGGUUAACAUAAGUGUCUUCAAGUAUACACAAUAAAUUAGCUGGUCAAGCAAAACCGUAUCCCCCUGAUGUAUACUAUAGACUAAAAUAAGGCGGGAUACUCUCAUUCAUCUCUGACAAAGAUGACCGGAUCUUUUCUUCACACCAACAAGAUCAUGCACACGAACAUAAGCUGUAACUAUAUCUUCCUUAGAGAGCCAUUCUCUACAUCUUCUCACGAAGACAGUAGUAGUCUACCUGAAGGAGACGCCAAAUAAACACACCACAACAAGAGUGAGGUUGAUGAAGACCGAACACAACUUGUAUCAAAAGAUGCACCACUCGGACUGCUCUAUAAAGACAGACGAGAUCUCGUUAAAUCCAUGUAAAAAAUAUGUGAGCGUUUGGUGGAGAUGAACAGUUCACCGAGCUGAAACGAGCAUCUCACUACAUCCGAAGACGUACGGUAGCUGCAAACAAGAGAAACCAAACAAAAAGAGAGACGAUGAAUCUUUGCUUUUAUCGACACAUUGCAAAUCAAAACAAAUCCAUGUGAGACAAAGAGAGACAGAGAAGAUCUCUCUUUUCGUUGUAAUUAAAACAAGUCACUGUCGUAGAACCACCAGAACUGAUAAAUUCUUGGAAGAAGAUGAAGCAGACGAAAUUUUUUGUGGGAAUAUGUUUUGGGUGAUUAAUAAAGAAGAUUCACUUCGUCGGUCAAAAGGAGAUGGUGAAGGAUAGGGAAAUCUAAAUAAAAUCUACUUAAGAGAUUACAUAAUCUCAUAAGUCAUAGACCGUAGAUUAUAUUGAUAGGGGCAGGAGUGUCUUUAUUUUUUGUUCAACAGUGCAACACAGUGAUUUAGAGUAUUCGCCUAAUUAUGGAGUAAGUGAUGUGUAGAGGAUGCAAUUUCUCUUCUUUUUUUUUGAUAGAAUAUCAAAUUUAUUGAUCAAAACUUCACAUUUACAAGUAAAGAUUAUGUACUCUGUUUAGCUAGGAGCAGAUGAAAGAAUGAGAAAAAAAUAACCCUCUCUAUGCCUAAGGAACUUUCCUACUCCCCAUAACUAGUUGACCUCAAACCAUCUUCUCAUCAUGCCCUCCAACGGAUGGCCAUUGGUGUACCGGAGUGAUGUUAUUUAUCAAUGUUUCUUGUGAGCUGCUCAGUUGUGAUCCACACACCACCAUGCCUCCGCGAGUUGUGUUCCCUCCAAAUUGAGUAGAUGACUGUUUGAAAGGCCAUCUUCCUAAGAAUGUAAUCGAUCCGAGUACGAGCCUGUCGCAGGAGAGAGCUGGCAGUAUCGUUCCAAUCUGGGGUAAUGGCGUUUCCAAACAGCUUCUCUGCAAUGUUAAGCCAGACCGUGAAGGAGAAAGGACAGGCAAAAACCAGGUGAUCUUUUGUUUCGUUUCCAAUACAUGGUUUUUUUAAAAUAUCAAUACGACACAUGGUUAAUGAUCAUAAAUAUUUGGGUGCAAGAUCCCAAUAGAACUUAACAAUUAAACGUGUUUGAACAAUAGUACUCUAAUUUACCCUAGUUACAAAAAUUUUGUUUAAACUGUUCCACUUAUUCCCUCUUUUACUUUAUUCCUUUCUUACCCUUUUUUUCUUAUUUAUUUUCAAAUGUUGCGGAACUCACCAUUACUCUUUUUUUCUUCUUUUUUUUCGGUGGAUCCAGAUUAUUUUUUCCAUUGACCCGAUAAUUUUUUAAAAUUUUUUUAGUGGAUCCCAUAUUUGUUUUUCCAAAUCACUUUAACUUUUUUUUUUUUAAUUUGUUAAUGAUCAAUAUAGCUAAACAUUAUGAGAAAAAAAUAAAAAAUGUUUAUCUUAAAAUAAUAUUUUAUAAAUAACUAAAUGAAAAAGAAAUUAUUGAAAUAAUAUUUUUCAUAAUGAAAAUAAACAAUUAAUUUCAAAAAUAUUUAUAGAAAUUAUUUCAAAAAUAACUCAAAAGUGAAAAUUUAAUAAAAUAUAUAUCUAGAUAAUAUUUUAAUCAACAUUUAAUUUUGAAAAUAAACUUAAUAAAAUAUUUAUAUAAAUUUGAGUUACAUUAAAUAUUUGCAAAAUACAAAUUAAAUAAACAUGUAUUUUAAUUAUAUUUUAAUCAGAAAUUAAAUUCAAAAUAAAUUUAAUAUAAAGUUAUUUAAAUUAUUUUCCUUAAUUUAAGUUUGUAUAUAUUUUAUAUAGCCUUCAAAUUUCAAAAUAAGAUAUUUCAUAUUUUUACUAUUUAUAUUUGUAAUUAGAUUAACAAUCUAUAUAAGUUAUAUAUAAUAUUCUCUUUGUUCAUAAAAGGUAAUUUUGACACUUUUUAUUGUUAUGUAAAGAUUAUGAUUUAAGAUUCUAAUUUAGUUAUAUCUAUUUUUACUUUAAUAUUAUUUAGAAAAUGCUUUGAUUUUAUAAAUAUUUUAUUUGUCUAAUCACUGCCCGAAGCGACAAAUUUUUUUUUUGAAACUAUGUCUACAAUUGCUAAUAGUUUAUUGUAAUAGAACUACAGAACAAUUUUUUUGGUCAUCUGAAAUGUAUAGAGAAAAUUAUCAGUAAAAAUGUAUAGAGAAAAUGUUUUUAUUUAGUUAUUUACCCAGAUUUUUAGGAAAAAACAAACAAUUGUUUCCAUAUAUUUUUUGGUUUCUUAAACAAACCAUGUUUUCAAUCUUAUAUCAGUUUUUGCUUAUCCAUAUCAAUAUUAAAGAGGCUAUGUUUUAUAGUUGUUUAACAUAAGAUCUAGUUAAUGAAAAGUAAUCAUAAUUUUUUUUUUAAAGAUGUGCUAGGCCAAUGAUUAUUUCUUUCUCCUGUGAGCACAGAUGUUAUAAACUUAGGGCAUGAUUAACACCGGUCUCUUUGCCGAAGUUUUUUAACUUAUGAUUUGAUUUUUUUUUUGUUUUUUUUACAAUUUUCAGCUAAGAGACGUCUCUUAUAUCUCUUAUUUAAGAGACGGUUCUUAACUUUUCUUAGUUAAAAUCUAAGAAAAACUAAGAACCAUCUCUUAGCCGAAGCUUAGAACCCCAGUUAAGAGACUGAGGUUAAUGAUGGUAUUAGUUACCAAAGAUAGGAUAUCAUAGCUUUUUAUAUAUAAAAAUGAUGCCCUAAGCGACAGUUUCUUUUUCCCUCAUGUGGGCCCAGCUCUGUACUUAAACUACUAUGUGUGAACUACAAUGUACUACUUUGAACUAUCUUAAACUAUCUUAAAAAAAAACCUUGAAUUACUAUGCAUUAUGCAUGUUUCUAAGAAUAUUAAUUUUCGACUUAUUAUUUAUUUUUAGAAUAUGUAUCUCAUAUAUUACAUGAUUAUAUAUGUUUCACUACAAGAAAACACAAGUUUAGCGAGGAAACUUAACGAAGAAAACUAAUCCUCGUAAAUUUACGUCGACUUUACGAAGAACUUACGAGGAAAUAUAAAAUCAGCGUUAUUUCCUCGUUAGCAUCCCGAUUUGAUGGUGCCUCCGAGUGCUCCUUACUCGCAGUACACUGUCGAGGACCUUCUCGGUCAGCGAGGCAGAGAAGGUUUACCAGUCAUAGAUCCCGACCGACCGGACAGAACUUUAUGGUAUGUUACAUUAUAUAUUUUUUAUUUCUCUUAAAACUCUUUUAUAACAUUAAUAAAUAAUUUAUACUUUAAAUUUGUUUUUUACAGGUUUGGGGUUGACGGAUGUCUUGCAUCAGACAUAGACGACACGAUCAAAGGUUACUUCUCCAUGCCACAUCCAAACUGGAAAAGACGCCGAUCUACGUCAAAAAGACGCCGAUCUACGUGGUUCACAAUUUACGCUAUAAGUUACUAUUAAUUAAUUAAUUUAUUUUUUUACAGCAAAAAUAUCAUUGGUCCACGGGGGUCAAUGAGAGGGUGAGGAAAGCGUUUUAUGCGAAGGAGAAAGUUUGCUUCUUGGACACGGUCUCCAACUGGAAGGGUGACUAGAUCGUGAAGGGGUAUGAGCGUGGCAAACCCGCUGAGCUCACCACGGAUGUGUGGGAUGGCCUCAUCUGUUAUUGGCGGGAUCCUGACUCCAUUAGAAUCGUUUGGUCUUGCUCUGCCUCCCGUAACACGGUAGAUGUGCACGGCCACGGGCCGAUGCUUCACUCUACAGACCAAAAACCCCCCACGCCAGUGUCCGUUUGUAAAUGGCAAUUAAAUAUUUUAUUUAAUUAUUUUUUUAAUAUAUAUAUAUUCUAACUUUCUUAAAUGUUUUUUAGGCCAAAAAGACGGAACAAAUCCCGUCUCUUUUGCAACUUUACGAGAGGACCCGCAAGAACAAGGCGGGUCAAUUUCUAGAUGGCAAGUCCGAGCAAAUUUUCAACGACUUCGUUGCUCAGGUUGACGACCGCCAGACCCAGCUGACCCAGCAAUCCACCAACGGAUUACCCGUCACCUUAUCCACACUUGAUGUGGAUAGGAUUUACGAGGAGGUAAAAUUUUUAAAAUUUUAAUUUUUUUAUUAUUCAUUUAAUUUAACUAUAAAUAUUUCUAACAAUAUUUUUCUUUUGUUUUUAAAGUUGUCCCUAAGAAAAAGGGACAUACAUUGGGGAUUGGUUCUGUCAACGAUGUUCCGAGAGCGACAUCGUCUUAUGGUCAGAGACGAGUCCACUCAGCUGCGUAAAGAGUCCACUCAGCUGCGUAGCGAGUUGGGGAAGAUGAAGUCACUCAGCUGCGUAAAGAGUCCACUCAGCUGCGUAGCGAGUUGGACUUGACGCGAUCUGCGUUCACAGCUCGUGUGGGUGGAGUCGAGGGCUUCUUGGACGUUAUAGCAGCCACAAAUUCGGAAUGGGAGUCCUUGUUGAGGAACAUGCGACGACAAAAUCCCAUUCCAGGCGAGUCAUCAUCCGACACACAUGCCGAGGCAGAUGUAGAGAGGAGUGAUGAAUUCUACUGGGCCAUGAACGAUCCUUAGUUCUUUUUUUCGGUUGUUGAAUUAAAAAUUCAAAACUUAUUUAUAUAUAAAAUAUUUUCGUAUUUAUUUUUAUUUUAAAUUAUAAUUUUAUUAAUAAAUUAAAUAUUUUUAAUUAUUUUUUUAAUUAUUAUUUUUUAAUUCUAUAAAAAAAAAACGAAGUAAAUUCGUAGCUAAAUUACAAAUUAUUUACGUGAAAAGUUUACGAGGAAAUGACGAGGAAGGUUAAACGAGUAUUUUACGAGGAAAUACUUUCGAGGUAUUUACGUGUACUUUACGAGAAAAUACUUUCGAGAUAUUUGGGUGUAGUUUACGAGGAACUCCUUUUGAGUUACUUACGAGGAAAUAUAGCGACCUCCUUAUGUGGAAUAGUUACGUGGUCUUUACGAUGAAAUGAUACCCUUCGUCUCUACGACGAAAUGUUUUCCUCGCUAAGUUACGACGAAUUGGCGAGGAAAUAUGUGUUACGACGAACGAGUAACGACGAAACGUGUUUCCUCGCUAAUUCCUCGUAAAGCCUCUUUUACGACAAACUCACGAGGAAUACUGCCGUCGUUAAUCUUAUAUUUUCUUGUAGUGUAUAUGUGUUUAUUUGUCAAAAUUAGACAUAAAGUACUCUUAAUUUCUCAAGUUCAUAGAAAACUUCUCAUUUCCAUACAAAACAUUUUUUUAUUUCCAUACUAAUAAUGUCUUGAAUGAAAGACCAUCUUGAAAUGAAUAACAGAAAAUACAUAUUUUCUGAAUUUGUUUUCUACAAAUAUGUUAUAUACAAUCUAAAACUUUCUAAAUAUGUCGGCAUUACUAAUAAAUUUGAUUUUUUGAUGUUGUAUUACUAAAAAUGUUGUAAUUUGCAAAAGUAUUACUAUGAAGAAGGAAAUAUUACUUCUUUUUUCCGUCAGCAACAUAAACAGAAUCAUGUAGACUCUGCAAAACAGAUUGGUAGCUUCGCAUCCAUAUGGACUACAACAGACGAUUGCUUUCUUGCACUGCGUGCAAAGCUGUCCGCCCUUAAAUUCUGCGUCCGUGGGACAUGAAUGAGCUCUGAGCUGUGAAAACUUGCAAAGGCUGGCUAUUCUUCUGGUUCUGAAACCAUCUUCACCAACUGAGAAUAAUCCGUUGCAAAUGUAACUGUAAACGGUCUUAAAUUCCUCAUACACUCCAUUGCCCAAAUAAGCGCUUCCAUCUCUGAAUGAAGUGGCAAUUCACUAGCUCUUGUAUUGCUCGCUCCUAUUAAACCAUCAAAACCUUCGAGUGUACUAUACCACCCUUGUCCCAAAUGGAAAUCUUGAUUUUUCCAUGAUCCUUUCGUAAAACACCAUCGACCUGCGAUAUCCGGUACUAUCGCUUGUACUGGUAAUCUAGUUUGCUCGAUUCCUUUUGUUAGUAAGAUCUGCGCCUCCACCCAAAGUAAAGACUCUGUUUCUGCCAAUUUGAGAGUAUCUCUAGGAUCCAUGUCCAAAUUACUAAAGACCUUGUUGUUUCUUUCCUUCCAUAUAUACCAUAAGAUCCAUGCAAAUUGAUGAUCUUCCAAUUCCGAAGAAAUCUUCCAAAAUAAACAAUCCAUGUUCGAAAAAAGUGAUUGAGUAGGAAAGAUGUCUGGAUUGGAGGGAAUUCAAGAGAGUGCUCAAACCUAAACCGCCGGUGGACAUUCAAAAAAUACAUGUUUUAUUAGUUCCCCGUAUGCUCCACAUUAUGAACACAUCGUAUCCCCCUGCACUGGAAAUAUUACUAAAACCUUGAGUACUACUAAGUUAAUAUAUUUAAAAAAUUUGUUCUCUCCUUUUAACACGUUUUAUACAUGUUUUUUUAUUGAAAAUUUUACCACUUUUUGACAUUUUUUUUUGUUAAAAUUUUCAACAUGUGGUAGACAAUUUUUUUUUUCAAUUUCUUACACUUUUUAGACAAAGUCUUAUUUGUCUUCUUAGCUGAGCCAGUCCUAGAAGUGUAAAGGCUGAAAACAAAAGGUAAACAUGUGGCCACUUUUCAAAGGAAAAAACAAAGGAAAAAACCAAAAAAUAAAAUUGUAGCUACUGGUUGUCGAAUCCAUGAACUAAUGGAAGGUUGGCCAUAUAAACUUCCACUAGACUAAGGAGAAUAUUUGAAAAAAAGGGGCCGAAAAUAGUCUAUAAAUUAAACGGCCGCAUGCGUGUGCUUCUUUAGCUUUGUACAAGGGCCGGCCCUGCUUCUUAGUAAUACCUAUCGAACAUGUUACCUUCAUAGAUUAUAAAACAAUAAAGGUAGUUGGCUAACCAAAAAAAAUGCGGAAAAAUAUGAAAAGAUAACAAAACGAAUUUAUAGAAAAGGUAGAUCUUAUUUCGAAUCCACGUAAGAGCGUUGCGAUCAUUACAAGAGAUUAUAAAAGCUUCAGCCGCAAGAGCUGUCAGCGAAUUACCUAGUUCUAGCAACCUAAAACCUAGUUGAAUCGCAGCUCGAUAACAGAAGACGAAAAAGAUAUGAAAACGGUUUUGAUUGAUUUCAGAUUGAACCUUAUGAGAGGCUGCCUACCUACCCCUUUCGAGGAUCAAGUCGAACGUAGUUCAAGAGUGAACGAAGAGAUCAAACUGCUUGUGGCGUUCGUCUGGUAAUCGGGUGCCAGUCAUAGAAACAGAGCAUGUUGAGAAUAUUGCCUCAAAGUUUCUAAGUGCCGGGAGUUUGCUGUGUCUCUCCUCCCCUUUGCCUCUCACCUAAGACUCCUUAUAUACUUACUCCUAGGUCGGUUUGCGCCUUUCCCCUUCUACCCUUAAGCCGUCAUAGCUCAAACAUUGACAUAUUCAAUUUUCCCGAUCUUCGUGAUUAUCUUGGAAACUUCACUUUUAUCCGCGGAAACUUGACAUUUAUCUUGUCUUACGCACCAAGCAUAAACCGUCAUAAGGCUUAUGGGUACUCAGUUAGGAAAUCGUAAGUGGGCUUCGAGUUGCGUUUUAGGUCUCUUUGGGCCAUCUUUGACUUGGAACGUUUAUUAUGGUUUCUUCGAUAAAAACAAACUUCCCGCGGUUUUUAUCAUAAAGUUUGACUGAUGACUUUGACUGAUGAGAAACAAAUAAAGGUUUAGCCAUGGCCUACGGGAGAUAGCAUUAAAGAGUAGACGAGAAUGCAUGGAUUUGUGUUGUAUCGACGUUUUGGGAAAGUUCUGUCGCUACGUAGCGACCGAGCUUGGCUUGAGCUCGGUCGCUAUGUAGCGACCGAUCCGUGUUAAUGCUCGGUCGCUACGUAGCGACCGAGCCGUGUGCGUGCUCGGUCGCUACAUAGCGAACGAGCUUGGCUUGUGCGUGGUCCGAUGGCCAUACUUGAACUUGUCCGUGGCCGAUUUGGAUACGUGUAUGUUGCCUUCGGAUAAUCGGUAUUUUAGUGGUUCGAUUGAGAUUAGAACAAGAUUUUACCGCGAGGCUCUUCGUAAAAACGUGCAUGCUGAUUUUUAUGGAAUUUCAAACAUUGAUUCCGUCAUGACCGAUUUUGACCCCAACAGUUAGCCCCCCAGCUCGUUAGAACCAUGAGCUUCUAGCGUGAGGUUCUAGCGGGUGGCUUGGCAAGUUGGGCAAGUUAGGUGAGUUAGGCGGAAUUAAUGGUUGAAAAGGUCCGUGGUAAAUGGUCUUCUCGCUCUUCUAAAAUUGGAACGCAAUAAGAUUGGGGCUGCGCGUUAUGAUGGCUGCCUACGUACCCUUGUUGAAGGGAUCAAGCCUUUCGUAGUUCGUCUUGGAGUUAAGAUUCUUAUGACUAGUUUUUCAGCGAGACCUUUACGGUCUAGUUUAUAUGUAGAGGUUAUCUGGUGUGUUGCUGACGAUGGCAUUUUAUAUGGGUGUAGAGGGAAGACUACGAGUUGUCAUCUCGUAAUCUAACUCUGUGUGAACUGCUAUAUCUGUGAUCUGUUUCGAGAGUUUUCCGCAGUGUGUAAACUUGCGGGAUUUAUGAAGACGCUCGAAUAUUGUCCAAGAGACAAAUUUUGGGAUCUCGUAUCAGGGCGUUUGAUACUAUGCCUAGAGAUGUUAGAGACCAGUGUGCUACGUUUAGGGUAAGACCUAGCUCUAGUCACGACUUUAGGGGGUGCGUUGACUACUUCGACUUACGUUUUUCGUAUCGUUUUCGACUUGAUUCCAUUCGGCUUUAAAGUCCGCGAUAUGUUCUCGGCUUACGUGACUUGUAUGGUAGGAAUCGAGCAUCUCUUCGAGGACAAUUUUUAAGUCUCUCGAAAGUGCUGACCAAAAUUUCGGAUUUUUUUAUAUAGCGCUAUUACCCUUGUGUCGGGUGUACGAGAUCUAUCUAUACGAAUGGUUAAGUCUGUUUAGGACGUUAUGAGUUUGUUGUUAUUAACAACAAACUUAUCGGUAGAUAUUACCAUUUUUGAGUCUUCGCGAAGAAUACGUGUUUAAGGAGAUGUUAGUAUGUAUGAUUGUUUGGUCUUCCAAGAAGGUGUCUUUAUCGAGGAAGGUAAUUUUGUCGAAAAAUGGUUCUUCAGGCGUCUGCGAUGUCUCGCAAUACUGAAGAUUUUGUUCUUUUGUAUGCCGCUUUUCGUGCUUGAAAUGUUCGCGGGCUUGAAGAUGUUCCGCGAUAUUGCAAGGGUUUAGUCUUAGCCCUGCAUUUGAGAAACAUUAUGGUCUGUCUACGGAUGUUCGUAGCCAUAAUUGUUGUUCAUGUUUGGAUGCUAAUAAUUUGAUUUGCGAUCGAGGAAUUAGGACUGAGGGGUCGCGUAAAUUUGUCCAUGGGAAGAAGCGUUUUCCUUCAUAGUGCUUUGUGAAGCGUCGGCUUCCGAGAUCUAUUUUGUGCAUUUUUGAGGAUGUUUCGUAUAGCUCUAGAAGCUUUGUUACAAAUUUUUCCUUACAUGUCGCGUAUUAUGGGUAAAACAUAGCGGGUUUAAAGUGAAUUGUGGAAUGUAUCGAACUUAGUCGAUUGUCGAUAAGUUUUGGUUUUCUGUUAACCGUUUGGUUGUUAGGACUGAGUUUCGUUACGAAGAAUUUAUCAUAUGAUUUCUGACUGUGGGUUAUACGAUAAUUAUUUUCUUAAUAGUCUCACGACGUUUUUAGAUAAAUCAUUGAUUGUACAAGGGCCGGCACUGUUUCUUAGUAAUACCUAUCAAGGGCCGACACUGCUUCUUAGUAAUACCUAUCAAACAUGUUACCUUCAUAGAUUAUAAAACAAUAAAGGUAGAUGUCUAACCA